CGGAGCGUGCAACUGUCAACUGUGCUUAAUUAAUUUUGAUUAUUGUUUAGUGAUCUAUUAAAUUCAUCCGCCAUUGCUUUUCAAUAAAUGAAAUGUGGAAAUUCAAAUUGUCCGCAGUCAUUUUGGAUCACUCGGUAUAAGAAGCUGUUCGUCCGACGUUCGAGAUUUGGAUUUCGCAAUCGCUGCAAAAUUGUAUGCUAGUACAGACACAGAGGAAUUGGUAAAAGUUUCUAAAGACGAUUUAGAACCUAGCCUUUGGUAAUUGGCUUAAUUUGUAUCUGUGAUGGGAUAUGACUAAGGAAAAAAAGGAACUAAUUUAGUGGAAAGCGCUCGUUUUCAAAAAUGAAAAUUAUGAAGAAUGCAUACUUUCAACGACGAUGGGACAAAAGCGGAUAUCAAAGCUAUUGAAAGUGAUUUACGCCCGGGAACUAGAUUGCAGCGAAACCAUCAAGGCAUUUUCUUCAAAAAAAAGCUCGCAAUUAGUUUUUAAUAAAUUGUAUGUGCUUAAAAAAACAAAACAUUUUUUUGCAAUUUUAGUCAGCCCAACAUUCAGUCUAGACUGCCUCCCGUUUGCGUUCUAUGCCAAC